ACAUCCAGAGAACUUAGCAGAGAUGCUUUGGUGCCUUCGGGAACUCUGAGACAGGUGCUGCAUGGCUGUCGUCAGCUCGUGUUGUGAAAUGUUGGGUUAAGUCCCGNAACGAGCGCAACCCUUAUCCUUUGUUGCCAGCGGCUCGGCCGGGAACUCAAAGGAGACUGCCGGUGAUAAACCGGGGGAAGGUGGGGAUGACGUCAAGUCAUCAUGGCCCUUACGGCCAGGGCUACACACGUGCUACAAUGGCGCAUACAAAGAGAAGCGACCUCGCGAGAGCAAGCGGACCUCAUAAAGUGCGUCGUAGUCCGGAUUGGAGUCUGCAACUCGACUCCAUGAAGUCGGAAUCGCUAGUAAUCGUAGAUCAGAAUGCUACGGUGAAUACGUUCCCGGGCCUUGUACACACCGCCCGUCACACCAUGGGAGUGGGUUGCAAAAGAAGUAGGUAGCUUAACCUUCGGGAGGGCGCUUACCACUUUGUGAUUCAUGACUGGGGUGAAGUCGUAACAAGGUAGGCGUAGCGAG
rnacentral:rRNA from 1 species